GAUGAACGCUGGCGGCGUGCUUAACACAUGCAAGUCGAACGGGAAUUAUUUUAUUGAAACUUCGGUCGAUUUAAUUUAAUUCUAGUGGCGGACGGGUGAGUAACGCGUGGGUAACCUGCCUCAUACAGGGGGAUAACAGUCAGAAAUGACUGCUAAUACCGCAUAAGCGCACAGGACCGCAUGGUCCGGUGUGAAAAACUCCGGUGGUAUAAGAUGGACCCGCGUUGGAUUAGCUGGUUGGUGGGGUAACGGCCCACCAAGGCGACGAUCCAUAGCCGGCCUGAGAGGGUGAACGGCCACAUUGGGACUGAGACACGGCCCAGACUCCUACGGGAGGCAGCAGUGGGGAAUAUUGCACAAUGGGGGAAACCCUGAUGCAGCGACGCCGCGUGAAGGAAGAAGUAUCUCGGUAUGUAAACUUCUAUCAGCAGGGAAGAUAGUGACGGUACCUGACUAAGAAGCCCCGGCUAACUACGUGCCAGCCGCCGCGGUAA
rnacentral:rRNA from 1 species